UAGGGAAUCUUCGGCAAUGGACGAAAGUCUGACCGAGCAACGCCGCGUGAGUGAAGAAGGUUUUCGGAUCGUAAAACUCUGUUGUUAGAGAAGAACAAGGACGUUAGUAACUGAACGUCCCCUGACGGUAUCUAACCAGAAAGCCACGGCUAACUACGUGCCAGCAGCCGCGGUAAUACGUAGGUGGCAAGCGUUGUCCGGAUUUAUUGGGCGUAAAGCGAGCGCAGGCGGUUUCUUAAGUCUGAUGUGGAAGCCCCCGGCUCAACCGGGGAGGGUCAUUGGAAACUGGGAGACGUGAGUGCAGAAGAGGAGAGUGGAAUUCCAUGUGUAGCGGUGAAAUGCGUAGAUAUAUGGAGGAACACCAGUGGCGAAGGCGGCUCUCUGGUCUGUAACUGACGCUGAGGCUCGAAAGCGUGGGGAGCAAACAGG
rnacentral:rRNA from 1 species